UACAGAGGGGGCAAGCGUUGUUCGGAAUUACUGGGCGUAAAGGGCGCGUAGGCGGCCUGCUAAGUCGAACGUGAAAUCCCCGGGCUCAACCCGGGAACUGCGUCCGAUACUGGCAGGCUUGAAUCCGGGAGAGGGAUGUGGAAUUCCAGGUGUAGCGGUGAAAUGCGUAGAUAUCUGGAGGAACACCGGUGGCGAAGGCGGCAUCCUGGGCCGAAACUGACGCUGAGGAGCGAAAGCGUGGGGAGCAAACAGG
rnacentral:rRNA from 1 species